AAAUUCAUAGUUUUCAUAGCAUUUAAAGCAUCUUUUGUGAUUUCAAGUAUAGAAUUUAAAUCUUUAUUGACGGCUUUUUGUAUGAUAGUGUUUUGCAUGAUAAUCCUUUGUAUAAGGAAGGGUGAUGGUGGCUCCGAUUGGACUUGAACCAACGGCCACUACCA
rfam:Campylobacter jejuni subsp. jejuni NCTC 11168 complete genome.